CAAAUUUAAAAUCUACCUGGUUUYCAGGUCGAGUUGUAAUUUGAAGAUACGUUUUUGACGUUCCGGGUUGAACUAAAUCCUUUGGGAUAAGGUAUCAUGGAGGGUGAGAAUCCCGUAUAUACCAACCRYAGGGAUGUUAUUUAAUACSUUUCUAAGARUCSARUUKUUUGGGAAWGCMGCUCYAAAUGGGUKGKAAAUUUCACCUAAUGCUAAAUAUAAGCGAGAGACCGAUAGYGAACRAGUACAGUGRUGGAAAGAUGAAAAGAACUUUGAAAAGAGAGUUAAAUAGUACGUGAAAUUGUUGAAAGGGAAACGAUUGAAGUCAGUCAUGCCVGUGGGAAUCAACUUAGAGGAAACUCUGAGUGCACUUCUUCGCUUGGCAGGUCAACGUCGAUUUUGGAUGUCAUAAAAUGAUUGGGGGAAGGUAGCUCYUUCGGGAGUGUUAUAGCCCUUGGUAGAUGUGAUGUCUGGGAUCGAGGAUUGCAAUGGAUACCCUUUGGGGCUAGCCGCCUGAUCUCUAAUYGGUAUUGGGUUACGGAUAGCAUGCUGACCGUGAUCUAAUUAUUGGUUAAAAGGUUAG
rnacentral:rRNA from 1 species